rnacentral:rRNA from 1 species
UUGGGUUUAAAGGGUCCGUAGGCGGACUCGUAAGUCAGUGGUGAAAUCUCAUAGCUUAACUAUGAAACUGCCAUUGAUACUGCGGGUCUUGAGUAAAGUAGAAGUGGCUGGAAUAAGUAGUGUAGCGGUGAAAUGCAUAGAUAUUACUUAGAACACCAAUUGCGAAGGCAGGUCACUAUGUUUUAACUGACGCUGAUGGACGAAAGCGUGGGGAGCGAACAGGAUUAGAUACCCUGGUAGUCCACGCCGUAAACGAUGCUAACUCGUUUUUGGGUCUUCGGAUUCAGAGACUAAGCGAAAGUGAUAAGUUAGCCACCUGGGGAGUACGUUCGCAAGAAUGAAACUCAAAGGAAUUGACGGGGGCCCGCACAAGCGGUAAUCG